AACGUAGGUUCCGAGCGUUAUCCGGAUUUACUGGGCGUAAAGCGCGUUCAGGCGGUUUGGCAAGUCGGGCAUGAAAUCUCUCGGCUCAACCGGGAGAGGUUGUCCGAUACUGCUGGACUUGAGGGCAGUAGAGGGUGGUGGAAUUCCGGGUGUAGUGGUGAAAUGCGUAGAUAUCCGGAGGAACACCGGUGGCGAAGGCGGUUCUCUGGGCCUUACCUGACACUGAGGAGCGAAAGCGUGGGGAGCGAACAGG
rnacentral:rRNA from 1 species